rnacentral:rRNA from 1 species
GACGAACGCUGGCGGCGUGCUUAACACAUGCAAGUCGAACGAAAAGAGGGAAAGAGCUUGCUCUUUCCGGAAUUGAGUGGCAAACGGGUGAGUAACACGUAAACAACCUGCCUUCAGGAUGGGGACUACAGACGGAAACGACUGCUAAUACCGAAUAAGUUCCAAGGGCCGCAUGGCCCAUGGAAGAAAAGGUGGCCUCUACCUGUAAGCUAUCGCCUGAAGAGGGGUUUGCGUCUGAUUAGCUGGUUGGAGGGGUAACGGCCCACCAAGGCGACGAUCAGUAGACGGUCUGAGAGGAUGAACGGCCACACUGGAAUUGAGACACGGUCCAGACUCCUACGGGAGGCAGCAGUGGGGAAUCUUCCGCAAGGGGCGAAAGCCUGACGGAGCAACGCCGCGGGAGAGAUGACAGCCUUCGGGUUGUAAAACUCUGUGAUCCGGGACGAAAAGGCAGAGUGCGAAGAACAAACUGCAUUGACGGUACCGGAAAAGCAAGCCACGGCUAACUACGUG